rnacentral:rRNA from 1 species
AUUGAACGCUGGCGGCAGGCCUAACACAUGCAAGUCGAGCGAGCGGCGGACGGGUGAGUAAUGUCUGGGAAACCGCCCGAUGGAGGGGGAUAACUACUGGAAACGGUAGCUAAUACCGCAUACUAUCAGAAGUGCCCAGAGGGGAUUAGCUAGAAGGUGGGGUAACGGCUUACCUAGGCGACGAUCCCUAUCAGGGGUGAGAGGCUGAUCAGCAACACUGGAACUGAGACACGGUCCAGACUCCUACGGGAGGCAGCAGUGGGGAAUAUUGCACAAGGGGCGCAAGCCUGAUGCAGCCAUGCCGCGUGUGUGAAGAAGGCCUUCGGGUUGUAAAUCACUUUCAGCGGGGAGGCGUUACCCGAAGAAGAAGCACCGGCUAACUCCGUGCCAGCAGCCGCGGUAAUAC